GAUGAACGCUGGCGGCGUGCCUAAUACAUGCAAGUCGAGCGAACAGACGAGGAGCUUGCUCCUCUGACGUCAGCGGCGGACGGGUGAGUAACACGUGGAUAACCUACCUAUAAGACUGGGAUAACUUCGGGAAACCGGAGCUAAUACCGGAUAAUAUAUUGAACCGCAUGGUUCAAUAGUGAAAGACGGUUUUGCUGUCACUUAUAGAUGGAUCCGCGCCGCAUUAGCUAGUUGGUAAGGUAACGGCCUACCAAGGCAACGAUGCGUAGCCGACCUGAGAGGGUGAUCGGCCACACUGGAACUGAGACACGGUCCAGACUCCUACGGGAGGCAGCAGUAGGGAAUCUUCCGCAAUGGGCGAAAGCCUGACGGAGCAACGCCGCGUGAGUGAUGAAGGUCUUCGGAUCGUAAAACUCUGUUAUUAGGGAAGAACAAAUGUGUAAGUAACUAUGCACGUCUUGACGGUACCUAAUCAGAAAGCCACGGCUAACUACGUG
rnacentral:rRNA from 1 species